rnacentral:lncRNA from 1 species
CACGUGCUUUUCCGGCGACUGCAAAGGCCGAUCCUGUAAGUUCCGCGGGGCAUAGGCGGGGCGUUAUCAGUUUUGGCCUCUACAACUUGGAUCUGUAUUGUAACCACCAUUAGACCCUCCUCAGACAUGACAACUGGACUUCUCAGCUGCAUAGAGACCUUUGUAUCAUCUUCAAACUUCUUGUUCCUAUGGUGGUAAGUCCAAGUCCUGAUCUAAUGCUCUGGACAAAUGUCUGUUGAAGCGUGAUGAGGAAUAAUUUUGUUUCUUACAAUUUUGAGUACAUACUGGAACUAAGUUAGACAACCUCCCCACUCGCCCCAGACUUCUAAUGAAAGGAAUCUGCUUGAAUGGAUGUCCCUGAUGGCUUCUUGUUUUGAGUAGGGCUCAUACCCUGACUCCUGAGCUAGAACAAAGUUUUUUUUUUUCUUCCUGCCUCUUUUUUCUAACUGACAUAUAACAUAUUAAUUUUAGGUGUACAACAUAAUGAUUUGAUAUGUAUUUUUUAUUGUGAAAAGAUUACUAUAAUACAUUUAGUUAACAUCCAUC